rnacentral:lncRNA from 1 species
UAACCUGAAACUUUGAGUGUCUAGUAAAGAACGUGGUGUUUUAAUUCUUCAAGUCAGUUCUUUCUCUGUCUUCUAGAUGGAAAACGAGGAAAAAGAAGAGAGUGCCAGGGAGACACAUGAGUGAGGAGCCAGCCCAGAAACGCCUGUGCCUGAAGAACGCUUUCUGGCGAGGUGGGAGCUCCCGUGAAGGCAGCCGCUUAGUUUCCGCUGCAGGACCCACACACCCUGCUUCUCCUUUUGGGGGUGAGGCCUCAGGUGGGGUCAUUGUCAUGUUUCCUGGAAACAGUUCCAAGCACUUGUGAAGAGAACAGUUGUCCCGCUGGGGGGCAGGACCCCAUUUUUCUCAGGGGCCCUAGCUGAAUGGCUCUUGGCUGGUCCCGUGUGAAUGGUGGAGCUCAGGCCCCUCCACUGACUGUGGACUUUGCCACCCCGACGUCUUGGUUACUUUUAACUGCAAAGAUGAGCCUACAAGGCAAAUGGGCCAGCUCCCCCUCCCACCUUGAGUCAGUGGUGGCACCUCCACCGCCUUCUCCAGCUGGUGAUCUGAAACCACAGACACCUCCACCAACUGAGUGUCCUCUGCGAUCUCAUACAUAUUCUCUAUUAGAGUCAUGUGGAGCCUCUUUUACCUCUUUCAGCUGUUUGGUUUGUGGAACCUGCAUCACCUGCUUCAGCCACAUCUCCCGUGUUACUUUAUCAACCUCAUCCAGCUCUCUGUGCUAAGGUACCUGAACCACCUCAUCCUGCUGUUUCUCCAGGGGGACCCCAUAAAACUUAAUCAGGUGUCUGUCCUGUGGAACCCUGUCUACCCCAUCCAGGUGUCUGUUGUGGGGGACUACAACCGACUCAUCCUGCCAUCUGUCCAGGGGGACCCCAUACAACUUAUUCAGAUGUAUGUCCUGUGGAACCCCAUCCAGCUCAUCCAGCCAUCUGUUCUGAGAAGGAAAUGUCACAGGAGGUACUUGCUGAGAUCCUGGUCACUUUUCUCAAGUUUCUGAGAGUUCACAGUCGGUUGCAUUAUUUCCUCAUCAACAGUUUGGCAGCAGAAUCGCUGCCCUGUAUAAUGUUCCUGCCAACUUGCAUGCGGAAGUCUCCACGGAGGGUCCCAGGCUUGGAGUCUGCAGG